GGCUUGGCAGUAGGGCCAGGGCAAGACUUACGCCUGGCUGAGCCACAGGUGGGGCUGAGGCCUUGCCUCCGUGACAGUCCCCAGCGGCUCCGCUCUGGAGUCAUGUCCAUGAAAGUGCACACUCAGCGAGCGUGGGAGGGAAUUGCAGACCCCUGCAAAACCAGGAAAUGAUUGUCUGGCUGCCUCCCAACCCAGACCGGAUUAAAGAGCAGUAACCAGAUCCUGUUGGGGACGAAGGGGAAACCAAGGUGGAUGGCGUGAGUGAUGAGAGACACUUGCACACCAUGAAGAAGGGGCCUCCUCUUUCCCCACAUCUGGAGGGUUGUGUGGGCCUUGUUUGAUUUCAUUUCAUUCUGCCAGAAAGAUGCAGACCUCCUGGCCAGGGUUCAGAGCAGAUGAGAAGGGAUGAUUCAGAGCCAGGGGACACAUGUGUGAGGAAAGAUUAGCAGUGGAGGAAGACAUAAGGCCGGGGUGACUCAGGGCAGAUCAAAGCUGUGGGGCUCAGCGAGAUGAGAUGAGGAAUGUUUUCCUGGGGCUGUGGGGCCAGGGUGGCUCUGGAGGCAAGAGGGAAACUCAGGAACGCCUUGGAACCGCAGGCCAGGGCGGGGAUCUAAGGUCCUGAGUGGGGAACAGGAGGGAAGCUGCACCCUUGGGUGUCAGUGGUGCAGGUCCCUGUGGGUGUGUGUCGGUCAGUAUGGUGCAGUGGAUGGAGCACCAUGGUGGAUGCCAUAGGUUCCUGUCCUGGCUCUGCUGAUGGCCAGCUGUGUGACCUUAGGUGGGUCACUUCCCUCUCUGUGCCUCAAUGUCCUCCUCAUUCCCUCAACACACAUUUCCUGAGGAUCUAUGAUGUGCUGAACACUGCCGGCCACUGGGGAGUAAUUCAGUGUGGAAACAUAAAGUGCAAUGUAGGGGGAGUUAUGCGAGCAUCAAACAGGUGCCCCUAACUGUAUCUAGGAGGGGGAGAAGGCUAACCCGAGACCAGACACACGGCCAGGAGGGAGCUAGGUGAAGAGGAGGGAGAGUGCUGCUCCAGGAGGAGAAACAGAGGUCCCAAGGCCUGGUGGCUAGAGACAGCGAGGCAUGUGUGAGGAUCCAGAGGCCUGCAGAGGUGGAGCGGCUAGAGACACAACUGGGGAGGUAGGUAGGGCAGCUCCUGGAGGGCUUGUGGGCCAUUAUGAACCCACAGCUUUAUCCUGAGGAUGUCUAUGUCAUGGGGAUGGUGAGCCUCCCUGAAGAAGGGCCUUUGGACCAGCAUAAUCAGGUUCAAAUCUUGGCCUCAGAUCCCACUAGGAUGAUGUUAACAAAUAAGCCACUUAGCCUCUGCUGCCUCAUUUUCCUCAUAUAUAAAUUAGCAGUACCACUUCAUACCUCAUGAAUUGUUUUGCUGAAUAAAUGGGCUGAUACAUAUAAAGCAUUUAAUACUAGCAUCCAGUAUACACUAAACACUCAAUAAGUGUUGGUGAUUAUUGUUGUUGGGGUACUAUAAAUAAUGCUAUCAGCAGAUUGUCUGGCAUCUCAAAGAGUUCAUCGUGUCCUCGGAAAAUUCCUCCCAAGGCAUCCUUUUCAAUCUGGCUUCAGCCCUCAGGGCCUGGCCCUCCCCUGCCUCUGCCUUUGUGGAGGGCCGUGGCUGGACAGGGCUGGUGAGUCACAAAUUAGGGCUAAGGCCAAUAGAGCCUUGGUGUGUUGUUUCCUGGGACCUUCCUCCGUACCUUCCCUACCAUGUCUGAAGCUGCCCCUAGACCCCCUGGAUCAGAACGAGGAGAAGGGUUGGGGUUGGAAGGUCCCCACAGCAUGGGCAGAGUGGAGGAGUGGCAGGCAGGAGGUGACUACCUCUCACACUCCAUGCUUGACACCCACUUGCGCAUGGGGGACAGGAUCCUCCCAUCCUCCGUGAACACCCCCAGGACUGUGCUCACCAUUCCUGUUCACUGUCAAAGAAACAGAGGCCCAGAGAGGGGAAGCUGUUAGCCCAAAGCCACACAGAAGCUGGUGGCCAGGCUGGGGCUCAAACCCAGGACUGAGAGGUGCACAGGGAGGGGUUUGAAGGCCCUGCUGAGGCCUCUGCUGUUCUCUCCAGUGCCCCCAACUCCCCACUCCUGGCCCAUUCCUGUCCAGCCAGCCCAGCUUAUUCAGCAUUGCCACACUCACCAGGCCCUCUGAAGCCUCAGGCUUUAGCAUAUUUUUCCCCCAUUGCCUGCUUAGGACUGCCACUCCCAGACGGGACAAUGCUGGGAAGACAGCACCUCUUCCAGGAAGUCUUCCCUGCUCUUUACACAUCUACCCCUAGCUGGGUUGGGGCCCUCUCAGCCUCCUCUGCCUCCCAGGAUUAUUACUUUCACUGCGGGUCAUUAUCUUUUACCUACAGGACUGAGAGCUCCUUGAGCAUAGGAUUGGGAGCUGAGUCAUCUGUCUGCUCAUGCCCAGCACAGGGUCAGGCACAGAAGAGCCUGCUGAUAAGAUUGUAAAGGGAUGGAUAGAUGGACAAUGGACAAGUAAACACUGUGGUCCAUUAAAUGCAAAAUGGCCCAUAUCCUCCACCCCCUCUAUGUUCACCCCAUUGCAAUGGGACUCUGAAGCUUCUUCCAUCAAGAGGUGGACUUUGUUUCCUCAGCUCUUGAAUCUGAGCUAGUCUUUCAUUUUGACCAAUAGAAUACAUCAGAAAUUGUAAUAUGCCUGAUCCCAGAUUAGAUCUCAAGAGCCUUGUGUACUUCUGUCCUCUCUCUCAGAACCCUGCCACAUCAUGUAAACAAUCCCGGACUAGCCUGCUGGAGGAAGAUAGACUGUGGAACAGAAUUGAGUUCCACAAGGCUCCAGAGACAUGAGAGAACCCAACUGAGAUCAGCAGAGCAGCUACCUCACCCAUGGCUGACCACAGAUGUAUGAGUGUGUCCAGAAGAACUUUCUGGUGGCCCCAUAGCUCCAGUUCCUCAGUCUGCUCCUGAAUCAGGUCCUCCAGGUUCUGGGAAUAUUUCUCCAGCAACCAC
rnacentral:lncRNA from 10 species